GGUCUGGCUGGCCGGUCCGCCUCACCGCGUGCACUGGUCCGGCUGGAUCUUUCCUUCUGGGGAGCCCCAUGGCCUUUACUGGCUGUGGGGGGAACCAGGACUUUUACUGUGAAAAAAUUAGAGUGUUCAAAGCAGGCCUUUGCUCGGAUACAUUAGCAUGGAAUAAUAGAAUAGGACGUG
rnacentral:rRNA from 1 species